GUUGAGAACACCUUUAUUUAACCAGGUAGGCUAGUUGAGAACACCUUUAUUUAACCAGGUAGGCCAGUUGAGAACACCUUUAUUUAACCAGGUAGGCCAGUUGAGAACACCUUUAUUUAACCAGGUAGGCUAGUUGAGAACACCUUUAUUUAACCAGGUAGGCUAGUUGAGAACACCUUUAUUUAACCAGGUAGGCUAGUUGAGAACACCUUUAUUUAACCAGGUAGGCCAGUUGAGAACACCUUUAUUUAACCAGGUAGGCUAGUUGAGAACACCUUUAUUUAACCAGGUAGGCUAGUUGAGAACGCCUUUAUUUAACCAGGUGGCCAGUUGAGAACACCUUUAUUUAACCAGGUAGGCCAGUUGAGAACACCUUUAUUUAACCAGGUAGGCCAGUUGAGAACACCUUUAUUUAACCAGGUAGGCCAGUUGAGAACACCUUUAUUUAACCAGGUAGGCCAGUUGAGAACACCUUUAUUUAACCAGGUAGGCUAGUUGAGAACACCUUUAUUUAACCAGGUAGGCUAGUUGAGAACACCUUUAUUUAACCAGGUAGGCCAGUUGAGAACACCUUUAUUUAACCAGGUAGGCCAGUUGAGAACACCUUUAUUUAACCAGGUAGGCCAGUUGAGAACACCUUUAUUUAACCAGGUAGGCUAGUUGAGAACACCUUUAUUUAACCAGGUAGGCUAGUUGAGAACACCUUUAUUUAACCAGGUAGGCUAGUUGAGAACACCUUUAUUU